AUUGAACGCUGGCGGCAUGCCUUACACAUGCAAGUCGAACGGCAGCACGGGAGCAAUCCUGGUGGCGAGUGGCGAACGGGUGAGUAAUAUAUCGGAACGUGCCCGGUCGUGGGGAUAACGUAGCGAAAGCUACGCUAAUACCGCAUACGAUCUACGGAUGAAAGCGGGGGAUCGCAAGACCUCGCGCGAUUGGAGCGGCCGAUAUCAGAUUAGGUAGUUGGUGAGGUAAAGGCUCACCAAGCCGACGAUCUGUAGCUGGUCUG
rnacentral:rRNA from 1 species